CCUACGGGAGGCAGCAGUCGGGAAUUUUGGGCAAUGGGCGAAAGCCUGACCCAGCAACGCCGCGUGAGGGAUGAAGGCCCUCGGGUCGUAAACCUCUGUCGGGAGGGAAGAACGGUUCACGUUCGAACAGGACGGGAGCCUGACGGUACCUCCAAAGGAAGCACCGGCUAACUCCGUGCCAGCAGCCGCGGUAAUACGGAGGGUGCAAGCGUUGUUCGGAAUCAUUGGGCGUAAAGCGCGUGUAGGCGGCUUGGCAAGUCGGUUGUGAAAGCCCGGGGCCCAACCCCGGAACUGCAUCUGAAACUGCCUGGCUAGAGUCCCGGAGAGGAAGGCAGAAUUCCCGGUGUAGGGGUGAAAUCCGUAGAUAUCGGGAGGAAUACCAGCGGCGAAGGCGGCCUUCUGGACGGUGACUGACGCUGAGACGCGAAAGCGUGGGGAGC
rnacentral:rRNA from 1 species